GUUCAUGUCAUCAUUUGUUGCGACUUACCUCAUUCUUAAAUGUGAUCUUGUACUUUAUGCCUCCAGGAAGAAAUCUUCUCUAAUGGGUAGAGAAUCAAAGGCAAAUGAGGUGCAUGUAUCUACAGCAGAGAACUGCAUUGUUCCAAAACAGUUAAUGUGGAAGCAAAACAACAGAACUGAAAGAGAAGACCCACCACCGAAAUGGCAUUGAAGCUGAGUGCCAGGGUCAAGAGUCUGCCAGAAAGAAAAAAUCAGAGGAGAAAAAGAAAUGGUUUGUUUUUCAAAGAAGAAUCAGAACUUGGAUCUUAGAGCAGAUUAAACCUCCAAUACUGGUGAAGGGAAGGGGUCUCCUCAUUGCUGGGGGACCUUGUUCCUUGUUUGUGAGCCUUGUUUCCCAGCCUCAGGGCACGGCCUCUUGAUGUGACCUGCUGAAGAGACAGGCCAGAGGGCAGAGAAAUCACACACCAGUCAGUCCCAGAACGUGAAGUGAAAUGAAGCCUGCCUUUUUACAGGUCACUGAGCCCAAGGCAAUUGCCACAAGGAAAAUAAGAUUCGCAUCAGGCACAAUUAAGUAUUUUUAAUUAAAAAAAAAAACCAAAAACAGGAAAAGAAAAAAGAGGGUAGGAUCCAGAGUUCUAAGUAGCAGCAAGU